rnacentral:rRNA from 1 species
AUACGUAGGUGGCGAGCGUUAUCCGGAAUUACUGGGCGUAAAGCGUACGUAGGCGGUUCGGGAAGUUCGUCGUGAAAUCUCUCGGCUUAACUGAGAGGGGUCGGCGGAAACUCCCGGACUUGAGGAGCGUAGAAGUGGGCGGAAUUCCCGGUGUAGCGGUGAUAUGCGUAGAUAUCGGGAGGAACACCAGUGGCGAAAGCGGCCCACUAGGCGCCACCUGACGCUGAGGUACGAAAGCGUGAGGAGCGAACCGGAUUAGAAACCCGAGUAGUCC